rnacentral:rRNA from 1 species
AUUGCACGCCAGUGGGAUGCCUUACACAUGCAAGUCGAAUGGAGUGGCGAACGGGCGAGUAAUGUAUCGGAACGUGCCCAGUAGCGGGGGAUAACUACGCGACAGCGUAGUUAAUACCGCAUUUUAUCGGAGCGCCCGUUCUCGGAUUAGCCAGCUGGGGGGGUAACGGCUCACCAAGGCGACGAUCCGUAGCUGGUUUGAGAGGACGACCAGCCACACUGGGACUGGGAUACGGGCCAGAUUCCUCCGGCAGGCAGCAGUGGGGAAGUUUGGGCGAUGGGGAAGACCCUGAUCCAGCCAUCCCGCGUGUGCGAUGAAGGCCUUCUGGUUGUAAAGCACUUUGGUCAGGAGAGCGGUACCUGCAGAUUAAGCACCGGCUGACUACGUGCCAGCAGCCGCGGUAAUUC